CUUUCCUUCAAUUAAACGCUUGAAAAAUGUGUUGAUAGCAGAGGAUAUAUUGGGUAUCACAAAUGAAUAGGAUGAUGGGUCACAGGAUGAUUUUAUAGAAAGCUUUGAGGAAACAUCUCCCAGUAUGACUUUGGAGGACACUCAGGAUGUUGCUCGUGAAAAAAAUCAUUUUGUCUGUGGUUGCUGCCUUCUCCAGCUAGCCAAAAAAAUUGUUAUUCCAAAAUGUUUGUUUUGUGCUGGUGAAGUUGAUGUUUCUAUACAGCCUAUCUCCUCCUGUGUGCAUUUGAUAUGGAAAUGUGGUGCAGCACAUGUCAUUUGAGUAGUCUUCCCAGCCUUUGAUAAAAGGAGAUGCAUAUGCAGGGGAUCUUGCAUUAUCUGCUGCAGUAAUACUGUCAGCAAACCAUUUUGGAAAAAUCUCUCAAAUGGCAAACUUUAUGAAGCUGACAUUCAUAAGUGCAAAUACCUUCUUCAGAAUGCAGCAUCAUUUUAUUGUUCCAACAAUAGAGUCCUUCUGGUAUUGAAUGAAGCAACACAUUUUAGAGGAACUACAUGGGAAAGUGGUGGUUAUUAUGGGUAAAUAAAGGUUUUUGAAGUUACAUUGCACAUUUUGUUUGUUUUUAUGCUGUAGCUUUUUUUUUUUUUUCUCCUAGCUCUCAUACUGCACUGUGCUUAUUAAAAUGGGUUACUUUGAUUUCACUCUUCUCCAAGAAAAAUGCUGUUUUUUUUCCUAACCAUACGGGAGAUGUUCAUAUGGAUGGACCAGGUUACUCUGCACAGUACUGUGUAUACUUGUUCAUGAAACUGGAAACAAAACAGAUACUAGCUAUUGAAAUGGUUGAUAAACAUAAGACGCAGCUGAACUCUCCUUUUAUGGAGAAAGAAACUUUUUAGAGAACAUUACAAAAAUUGGUAGAUGAACAGCUAAUGGUCGAAGAACUGGUUACUGAUGCACAUCCUCAGAUCUCUACAUUGAUAAAUCUACAUUUGAUCUGGAGCAGUUCCAGCAGCGCUUGUAUAUGUAUGCUACCAAGAUGUCUGAGUACACCUACCCUCUCUACAGAGCAAGAUGUUUUUGCAGUGAUUGAUUACAACAUGCAUUUGAACCGGCAAACUGCACAAUCAGCAAAAUCGGUUAAUGCACCAAGACCAGGAGGCUGA
rnacentral:lncRNA from 1 species